rnacentral:rRNA from 1 species
AUUGAACGCUGGCGGCAGGCCUAACACAUGCAAGUCGAGCGGAAGAAGGGAGCUUGCUCCUGGAUUCAGCGGCGGACGGGUGAGUAAUGCCUAGGAAUCUGCCUGGUAGUGGGGGAUAACGUCCGGAAACGGGCGCUAAUACCGCAUACGUCCUGAGGGAGAAAGUGGGGGAUCUUCGGACCUCACGCUAUCAGAUGAGCCUAGGUCGGAUUAGCUAGUUGGUGGGGUAAAGGCCUACCAAGGCGACGAUCCGUAACUGGUCUGAGAGGAUGAUCAGUCACACUGGAACUGAGACACGGUCCAGACUCCUACGGGAGGCAGCAGUGGGGAAUAUUGGACAAAGGGCGAAAGCCUGAUCCAGCCAUGCCGCGUGUGUGAAGAAGGUCUUCGGAUUGUAAAGCACUUUAAGUUGGGAGGAAGGGCAGUAAGUUAAUACCUUGCUGUUUUGACGUUACCAACAGAAUAAGCACCGGCUAACUUCGUG